rnacentral:rRNA from 1 species
CCUACGGGAGGCAGCAGUAAGGAAUAUUGGUCAAUGGAGGCAACUCUGAACCAGCCAUGCCGCGUGCAGGAAGACGGCCCUAUGGGUUGUAAACUGCUUUUGAACUAGAGAAAACCUUGGUACGUGUACCGAGUUGAUAGUAUAGUUAGAAUAAGCAUCGGCUAACUUCGUGCCAGCAGCCGCGGUAAGACGAAGGAUGCAAGCGUUAUCCGGAUUCAUUGGGUUUAAAGGGUGCGUAGGCGGACUGAUAAGUCAGUGGUGAAAUCUCUCAGCUUAACUGAGAAACUGCCAUUGAUACUGUUAGUCUAGAGUACAGAUGAUGUGGGCGGAAUAUGACAUGUAGUGGUGAAAUACUUAGAUAUGUCAUAGAACACCGAUUGCGAAGGCAGCUCACAAAACUGUAACUGACGCUGAGGCACGAAAGUGCGGGGAUCAAACAGGAUUAGAUACCCUGGUAGUCCGCACCGUAAACGAUGAUUACUCGUUGUUGGCGAUAUGACAGUCAGCGACCAAGCGAAAGCGANAAGUAAUCACCUGGGAGUACGCCGGCAACGGUGAAACUUAGAAGUAGUAGACGNGNGAGAGCGACGAGACGACGAGGAGGAGAG